CUUUGGGUCUGGAAUCCUCAUCUACUGAUGGGGAAAUGGAGGGUGCAUGAGGUCCAGCACUCUCCUGCUUCACUUCUGGGUCCCAUCAACACCAGCGACACCUCCCUCUCAGAUGCCUGAUUCCACCCUAGAGACAGGCACAUUGAGACCCAGACAGGCCACCACUCUCCCAGGACAAGGCAGAGGGGGAUUUGGACCCAGGUGGAUUAGACACCACCUGGGCUUGUCUCCCACCCUCCCAUGGAGGCAGCAGGUCAAUUUGAAGCCCCAGAUCUUCAUAUAACCCUGGACACCGCCCCCCACCAGCCACCUGUGGAAUCCUCAGGGUCUCUGCCUUAAGUAGGGACCUCUCCUACCUCCUGGAACCCAAGCCCCUCUGAGCAGCCUGUCCUGACCUGGCUCUGGGCAUCUGGGGAGGAGGAUGGGCUCACCUCUGUCUCUGCAGAUGAGUCCCCUCUAGGUCCUACAGGGAGAGCCAUGAGCCCAGCUGUCAACUAUGAUGGCUGCAUCAUGACCCCGUGGCCUGAUCCUUUCUGAUACCUGCCCCCAGUGGGCAGGGCAAGCUGUCUAUGCAGGUGGAAUCUGGCACAGGGUUGUGGGGUUCAGGCCCACCCACCCUUCUUGGCAUCUCCCCCUCUCCCUGGGUUGAGGCAGCCAUGGUCCCUAAGGGUGCCAAGUGGCCCCUGCAGCCGCCGGUUGCCCCUGCCCACCACACCUCUCACAUGGUCACGGAUCCUACAUCCAUUCAUGAAGGAGAAAACUAAGAGGAGAUGAGACCCAGCAGAGGCCACAGGCUCCUCCUCAGAGACCAGGCUCCUCCCCAACUCCAGGGAUGCUGGAUGAGGCUGGGCUUGGAGUCUGGGGGACCAAGGAUGCAGGCUGCUGGGUCAGGGCAGGCCUGGGGAGGCAGCUGGCUCCCACCUACAUUCUGAGCAUUCCAUCCCAGGCCUCCAGCCUCGCUGGCCCCAGGGCCUGCUCCACCCUGCCUGCUGCCCCUGAGAGUUUCUGGGCUCUGUGCCUGCUGCCAGCC
rnacentral:lncRNA from 1 species